GUCGGUGUGCGUGGUUUUUUCUAAACAAGAACACAUGUAUUUAGGGAGCUAUCAUUUGAUUUUUAUGGGGGGGGCUAGGAUGAAAAAUUUUGUCCUGCAUUUUUUUUAGCUGUAAUCUCUGUCCUGCCUUUUAAUUUUUCACUCUGUUCGGUUCUGCCUUUUUUUUUUAAAAGUUUAUCCUGACUUUUUUUUACCUAAAUUGUCGUCCUGACAUUUUUUUUGCAAGUGUCUCAUCCUGCUUUUUUUUUUUACUCAAAACUCCUGUCCUGCCUAUUUUUUUUCAAAUUUCAUCCUAGCCCCCCCAUAAAAAUCAAAUGGUAGCUCCCUUAGAGAGACGAACAAGCUAUGAUAACUUUCCAGUGUGUUCAAUUUUAGCGAACGACAAUUUACCGCAAAAUUUAACAUAGUACUCUAGCAUUUGAGCUGCGUCGGAUAAAAUACUUAUACAUCUGUUAUCUUAUUCCGGGUUGAAAACAUCUCUAUGUAUUGAGGAGACAAAUUAUAGAACUAAGAAAAAAGGCACAAUCCGUUGCAAUUGUUUGCACUUGUCCUAAGUCGGGAAUGUGAUGUUCAGUAGUUAUUGUUUUUUUUUUAUUAGGCUCAUAUAAAGUGUUUCUCGUAUCCCGGUUUUUAUAUAGAUUAGACCUUUGGUUUUCCCGUUUGAAUGGUUUUACACUAGUCAUUUUUGGGUUCCUUUCUAGCUUGCUGUUCGGUGUAAGCUAAGGCUCCGUGUUGAAGACCGUACUUUGACCUUAAAUGGUUUACUUUUACAAAUUGCGACUUGGAUGGAAAGUUGUCUCAUUGGCACUCAUAUCACAUCUUCUUAUACCUCAUGUAAAUACAGGCUAGAUUACUAUAAUCGAUAAAAGCGCACAGACAGACAACCACAUCACAC
rnacentral:lncRNA from 1 species